CAAUAGCGUAUAUUAAAGUCGUUGCAGUUAAAAAGCUCGUAGUUGGAUUUCUGGUGGGAGCGAUCGGUCUGGCGCUUAGCGCGAGUACUUGCAUCGUCUCCGGCCAUCCUUGGGGAGAGUCUGUCUGGCAUUAGGUUGUCGGGCAGAGGAUCCUCAUCGUUUACUGUGAAAAAAUUAGAGUGUUCAAAGCAGGCUUAUGCCGUUGAAUAUAUUAGCAUGGAAUAAUAAGAUAGGACUUUGGUACUAUUUUGUUGGUUUGCGCACCAAAGUAAUGAUUAAUAGGGACAGUUGGGGGUAUUCGUAUUCCGUUGUCAGAGGUGAAAUUCUUGGAUUUACGGAAGACGAACUACUGCGAAAGCAUUUACCAAGGAUGUUUUCAUUAA
rnacentral:rRNA from 1 species